ensembl:lncRNA
UCCCUAUAGGGCUUGGGCGCCGCGUUGCAUUCUGGGACGUCGCGGCCAUGUUGAUGGCGUCGUGAAUGUAAACAUACAGCAAGUCGAACGAGAAGAAACAGAGUUGGGAGAAAGAAAAAAUAUGUUAAAAUCGCGAAAAGGUUGUGGGAUUUACAGGGAUACGCUAAGUAGGGAUGCCAGGGAUCGGUAUGUGGACAAAAUCGGCACUAUUAACGGUUUGGAUCAAUAUGAAAAUCCCAACAAAGAGUGGAGCACCGACGACGAGUUGCUGCCGCACUUUUGCAUUACAGAUAUCUUCGGCUACCUUGUUUGUUUUGUGAGCGCCUACACUUCAGAACAGUUCCGAGGCUACAAGUCAUUGGAGUCUCAUGUGCAGUUCACAAAUGGAUGGGUUAAGGAACUGCAGAUCAUAAAGCCGGCAAACAGUAUACAGUAAUCCAGACAAAGACGGACGCACAACUUCAACGUGCAAUCCAAAAACGUCACAACGUCAUUUACAUACACAUGUCGGCGGAUGACACGUGCCGAUGACAUCACCUCAUUUAUCCUCAAUUUCCCGCGAAAGACCUACGCAGCGAUUAAAGAGCAGAGAAACCACAUCUUUGUCUUUUUGCUGUCCGAGACAUUAAACCAGGAGAAGAGAUUACUUACAGCUAUGGAGACUGGGAUUGGCAAGCCAAGCGUUCAUCACCUGCUCCUGUGACUGCUACAUCAUCCUCAUCCUCAUCCUCACCUGUGAGGAAAAGUUCAUCACCUGCCCCUGUUACUGCUACAUCAUCCUCAUCCUCACCUGUGAGGAAAAGUUAAUCACCUGCCCCUGUUACUGCUACAUCAUUCUCAUCCUCAUCCUCACCUGUGAGGAAAAGUUCAUCACCUGCCCCUGUGACUGCUACAUCAUCCUCAUCCUCACCUGUGAGGAAAAGUUCAUCAAGAAAAAGACAGCAGGAGAGGUUUCAGUCAAGAUUGGUCACACUACGGGAACAUCAUAACAAUUGCUCCAAGCGCUUUAAUAGAGCAGAAGUUGAAAAAACCAACAGAACAAAAAAGACUGCCAUACUUGAGGAUUGCGUUCUCUAGGUUUUCGUCGGUCGAGAGGGAGCUGCUGUUGUAGUGGAGUAUUGUUGUCAUUGCCCCCCCCCCAAAACAAAAGAAAGGAAAACUGCUCUUGACUGAAUCACUUAUUAACUUAAAUAAGAAUCAUCUAUAUUUAAUGUAUAGAGUGAAGAUUAUUUUUACAUUAAUUACUUCAUAAAAAUAUCUGUAGUAGGCUAUUUUUAGAAGCCUU